GACGAACGCUGGCGGCGUGCUUAACACAUGCAAGUCGAGCGGAAAGGCUCCUUCGGGGGUACUCGAGCGGCGAACGGGUGAGUAACACGUGAGUAAUCUGCCCUUGGCUUCGGGAUAGCCACCGGAAACGGUGAUUAAUACCGGAUACGACAACUUCUCGCAUGGGAUGGUUGUGGAAAGUUUUUCGGCCAGGGAUGUGCUCGCGGCCUAUCAGCUUGAUGGUGAGGUAAUGGCUCACCAUGGCUUCGACGGGUAGCCGGCCUGAGAGGGUGACCGGUCACACUGGGACUGAGACACGGCCCAGACUCCUACGGGAGGCAGCAGGGGGGAAUAUUGGACAAUGGGCGGAAGCCUGAUCCAGCAACGCCGCGUGAGGGAUGACGGCCUUCGGGUUGUAAACCUCUUUCGGUAGGGACGAAGCGCAAGUGACGGUACCUACUAAAGAAGCACCGGCCAACUACGUGCCAGCAGCCGCCGUAAUAC
rnacentral:rRNA from 1 species